AUCACUUCUGGGUCUUUUGGCAAAGAUCAAGUGUAGUAUCUGUUCUUAUCUGUUUAAUCUCUGGUAUGUCCUCUAUCUAAGGACUAUAUAUUAAGCAGAUUUUUGGAGCUAGGAGAUGGAAUAGGAGCCUAUGCUGUCCACUCAACACAGUUACCUGUACUGCAGUACUUCUGGGAAUGGUAUACACC
rnacentral:snRNA from 1 species